UGGAUCAGUAACCAGAGACUGUCCUCAGAUAAGCUACACUUGUUAUUUUACCAAUCUAUAUUUUUGUAUGCUGGACCUUUCCAGUGAGUUGAAAGCAAUAAAAAGAAAGCCUUCAUUGUCCAAGAUGCAUUCAAAAGAAGAUCUACACAACUCCCCUGAUGAAAAACAGGAGCAAGAUGAAAAGCCUGAAAGUGGAUGAGUUUUGUUCUGGGCAGCAGUAUCAAGGCAGCAUGUGUGCACGUGCAUUCAGAGAGAGACCUUCCUGAUUCAACCUGAGUGGGAUCUACAAUUACUGAGCAGGCAUUAAAAAAACUUGUGAGUGUGCACACGUGUGCAUGCCUUAGAGGGAACACUGCUGCAGGCCUACAAUCUAGUGAACCAAAGGCUGCCUCCCUUGGAUUUGGUUUGAGAAAGCCAUGCACCCACUUCCCAGUAUUCACAGCCACUCAGACAGAAACUGGAGCUACAUUACGAGUUCUUUGGCUUCUGGGUUAAGAGCAUUUGUGACCUGCUGUUACUGUACAUUUUGACCAUCAGAUUAAAAACUGGCAAAU